rnacentral:lncRNA from 1 species
AUAACCAAACGGCUUAAGAAAUCCAGCCCUCAGUCUCUCUCUUCCUGCACAACCUCACUCUUGGCCACAAGUGACCCCCCCCCCGAAUGUCUUUCCAAUAACCUCUUUCCUUUGAGAGAGAGUAGAUGAGUGUUCGGAUUAUUCAAAGGCUUUAUCUAUCACUUGAUGUCUGACCUGUGUCUCCUUCAAAGGCGUUGACUUUCCUUUAGUAAGAACUUUUUAACUUGGUCGAUUAAAUGUCAUCUAAAUAUCCCAAUGAUUGAAGAGCUGCAAAAACAGGGCUACAAGUGAAAAGGGAAAGAAUAAGACAAAACACAAAGGGAAAACAAUUAAAAGGAAAGAAUGACCUGUGGAAAUUAAACAGAGCUUAAAUUGAGUACCAAGCUGAUGCUGGGAUUUCUCUGGUGUUGAUUUAUCACCAAGGCCCAGCUAGGCCAUCCUCUUCCUGCACGAUUUGGGCCCAGACAUUGCAAGCCGAGGAGACAUGUUUUCCUCAGUAGAAAUUAAGUGCUUGAAGUCUCCUUGCUACAGGCAAAAUUUAUGUUUUCAAAACACUCUACAUUAUAUCUAGUGAUUAGAACCGUAAACCUUGGAUUAAAUUGCUUCUUAUGAGUGGUUCAUGAUAUAAGAAUGUGACUUUCACUGAAAUAAGAAACAAAGAGGCAACAAGGUGGGGAUAAUACAAAAGCUGACACCAGGGGUGACCUUGGGAGAGUCAUUAAUCCCCUGGACCCAAGUUUAUAGAAUAUGCAAUAAUAACUUGGAUUUCCGUGAAAACCCAUUGAGCAGUUCUCAAAGCCAGCAUGUGAAAGGAUACUUUCCCAGCAGCCAAAAUAUUCUCUAAAAUAGAUGAUGGCUUUACUUGUUCAUGCUCAGAAAGGGAGACACAAAUAUUAGAGAUCAGCUAAUGAUUAAAUAAAGUUUUCUCCUGCCUAAGGCAAAGAUGAGAGUAACCAGAAGACAAGGAACACACGGAAGCCAAGUGCAAUAAUUCUGUCAAGGCUCAAAUACUCAGAAGAUUCCAGUACAAUGCAAUUUGAGCAGCAUCAGAAACACAUCCACCAUGGGCAGCAAAGAGCCCCCUUUACAUUUAAUUAGGCAGAGAAACUCUAGCUGAAUGGGUUAAAAAUUGCCACUAUUUCACAGUAAGUGAUUUUCUUAACCCCCAAGGGUUCAAAUUACUUUGGCAGGAAAAGCAAUUAUGCAAUUAAUAGGGGAAAAAUCUCCAGAGCUCUGUAAUUUGCAAAGAGGUAAAGGUUCUGCUGUGGCCUGCAGGGGACAGCUGAGCUCUGAUGCUUCUUUCUUUUUCUCUCUUUCUCUCUCCCUUUUUUUUUUUUUUUAAUUUGACCACACCUGAAAUAAAAACCAAGGAUAUUUUAAGGAAUAGGAAAGCACAACAGCUCAGAUAAUGUCCCUGCCAGUAUAUUCAUUACAGGCUCAUCAGAGUGGAUGCCUGCAAUCGGAAGAUUAAAUACCCAUUUACCAGGAUCAGAAGAGAGUUUGGUUUUAUAAUGUAUUGUCCUCUAUUCCCCGAGAGGCUGCUUUGUUUGAUAAAAUGCUGAGUGUGGUGUAAAAAUAUCCCUCUGUCUGUAAUUUGCACUCCUCUCCAUUUAAAGCUAUUCUUGCUGCAAACGAGAAUUGAAAGCUGCUAAAAUUAAGUGGUGUCAGUUCUCAAUGACACUUUAAUGAUAGAGCGCUCAGCAAAUGAGAUGAGAAUGAAUUCCAGCAUCUCUGCUAAAGAUAGUAACCAGCCCCAAACACUGUGCUGCUCUGGGGCCACACUUCACCUGCUUCAUUCAUAUUUAGUAGAUCUCAAAGUGGGAAACUAUCAUUUAAAGGACUGGAAAACGAAAGGUGGAAAUAACCGGUGGGCAUUGGUUCAAAGCAACUGGGAGGGUUUUUUGGGGGGCGGGGAGUGAGUUGAAGAUGCUCUCUCGGACUGAGCCUUCUACUUGGGUACCGAGUAGAUAUAGCACAUUUUAUUUUAAGAGAUUAACGUCCCACUGACCAAGAAAAUCUCUUCUGAUGGUGUCACCGGAAGGAAAUAAGGCUCUGAUUCAUUUUAUAGAUGGGACUGUACAUACUCAUUCUUGUUACUGGCUUGACAUUCUUGGUACUGCCAUGUCUUGACAGACUUGCAUACUUGAAACACUUCUAUACCACACCAGCCUCAUUCACAGAGAGGAGAAGGCAUCAUUGGUGGAGAUGGCUCCCCUCUUACCAUGGGGAGAGGAGGAGUUCUGGGCUCCCCAAAGCACCCCUCCAGAUGUCUCUCAUGCAUCUGACACCACCACACUGGAGGCCGACUGAAUUACAAGGACCUAAUUGAAAUGUGCUUGCAACCCGUGUUCCAGUGUUAUCAUAUUUAGAGUCAUGGGAAUUUCUUUUCACUAUUUUUUCAUGGAAGCAUUGUUGAUAUAAAAUGUGUUAAUUUCUGCUGUACGGCAAUGUGAUUGUUACACAUAUACAUAUAUACAUUCUUUUUAUAUCUUCUUUUCCAUGGGGGUUAUCAUAGAACAUUAAAUAUUGCAGUCUGUGCUAUACAGUAGGCUCUUGUUGUGUGUCCCUUUCAUGUGUAGUAGCUUACGUCUGCUAACCCCAGCCUCCCACUCCAUCCUUCCCCCAAAUCCCUUCCUGGUGGCAAACACAAGUCUGUUCUCUAGGUCUGUGAGUCUGUUUCUGUUUUGUAGAUAGGUUUAUCUGUGCCACAUUUAAAUUUCACAUACGAGUGUUAGCAUAUAUUUGUCUUUCUCUUUCUGACUUACUUCAUUUAUAUGAUAAUCUCUAAUUGCAUCCAUGUUGCUAAAAAUGGCAUUAUUUAGUUCUUUUUUAUGGCUGAGUAGUAUUCCUUUGUAUAUAUGUACUAUAUCUUCUUUAUCCAUUUAUCUGUCAAUGCAUAUUUAGCUUGUUUUCAUGUCUUGGCUAUCGUGAAUAGUGCUACUAUAAACACAGAGGUGCACAUAUCUUUUUGAAUUAUAGAAACAGCAUAGGAACCUCUGUGCUGUUUUCCACAGUGGUUGUACUGAUUUACAUUCCCACCAACAGUGUAGGAGGGUUCCCUUUUCUCCACAUCCUCUCCAACAUUUGUUGUGUGUAGAUUUUUAAAUGACAGCCAUUCUGACCAGUGUGACAUGGUAACUCAUUGCAGUUUUGAUUUGCAUUUCUCUAAUAAUGAGGGAUGUUGAACUUUUUUUAUGUGUCUGUUGGCCAUGUGGUUUUCUUCUUUGGAGAAACAUUUUUUGAGGUCUUCUGCCCAUUUUUUGAUUGGGUUGUUUUGUUUUCGUUGAGUUGUAUGAGCUGUUGGCAUACUUUGGAAAUUAAGCUCCUGUCAGUUUCUUCACUUGCAAAUAUUUUCUCACAGUCUGUAGGUUGUCUUUUCUGUUUUGUUUGUUUGAUUUUAUGGCUUCCUUUGCACGGCAAAACUUGUAGGUCCCAUUUGUUUAUUUUUGUUUUUAUUUCUAUUGCCUUGGAAGACUGACUUAAGAAAACAUUGGUAUGAUUUACGUCAAAGAAUAUUUUACUGGGGUUCCUGUCAUGGCUCAGUGGAAACAAAUCUGCCGAGUAUCCACCACCUUCAGCUGUGGUGUAGGUCACAGAUGAGGCUCAUCCUGUGUUGCUGUGGCUAUGGCAUAGGCCAGCAGUUACAACUCCAAUUAGACCCCAGCCAGGAACUUACAUAUGUUGCAGUUGUGGCCCUAAAAUGCAAAAAAAAAAAAAAAAAAAAAAAA